GCCCCUGUAGCUCAGUUGGUAGAGCGCUAGCUUUGUAAGCUAGUGGUCGCAGGUUCGAAUCCUGUCGGGGGCA
rnacentral:tRNA from 1 species